rnacentral:rRNA from 1 species
UACGUAGGGUGCGAGCGUUAAUCGGAAUUACUGGGCGUAAAGCGUGCGCAGGCGGUUUUGUAAGCCAGACGUGAAAUCCCCGGGCUCAACCUGGGAAUGGCGUUUGGGACUGCAAGGCUGGAGUGUGGCAGAGGGGACUAGAAUUCCUGGUGUAGCAGUGAAAUGCGUAGAUAUCAGGAGGAAUACCGAUGGCGAAGGCAGGUGCCUGGGCUAACACUGACGCUCAUGCACGAAAGCGUGGGGAGCAAACAGG